AUGACAAUCAACAAAAGGUUGAAAAAAAAAAUAAUAAAAAACCAAAAUGUAAGAUAUGUAAAAAAAAACAUUUCGGCAAAUGCCGAAAUCAACAGGCCAAUAAAAAUAAAAAAUGUGAUAUAUGCAAUGGUAGCCACAGAGGCCAAUGCUGGUGGCGGAAUGAAAAGCCGAAAACAAAAACCAAGGACCUGCGAGCGGUCCUUGAUGCAAAAAAAAAAGAACUGG